AGAGUCGAGCCGACUCGAUCAAAAUUCGAGCCGGCUCUCUCAGAGGAAUAAAAUGCCAUAUCUUUGAAGAUCGAAGGUGAGUAGACUCAAAAUGCAGUGGAGCAGACUUGAACCAAAAUCGAAUUGCCUCGAGGCCAUUUGGAGUCGGCUCGAUUGCAUCUAAGAGGCAUAACGGCUAGUUCUAUAGGGAGCUCAAUUUCAUCUUAACAAAUUUUCAAUGACCAUUUUUCAUCUCUAACAGUAAAAAAUGACUAGUUUUAAAUUCAAAUCACUCUAAACUUGGAGAGAAUGAUAAAGACAUAAAAGGAAGAGCAAGGGACAAAGAGAAGAAUAAUUAUUCAUAAAAAAAGAGCAUUUUUGAGUAUUUAUUGGCUUUCAAGAGAGUUCACCUACUCCAAAUUAAAUUUCUCUUGAUUUUUCUGAGUGUAAUCAAGGAGAAGCAAGUGCAUUUACUGCUGGCAUUCAAAGCUUCUUGAAGAGAGUUUCAUCGAUAACAAAUCGGCCAUUAAAAGGGUUCAAAUUGUUAUAUUAUUUUCAAUUCAAAAAAAUUCUGUAUUAGUUUCAAUGGGGGC
rnacentral:lncRNA from 1 species